ACACAUGAUGACUGAAAUUCUUCACUUUGACCUGAUGUCUGUUGAAGAAACUCUGUGUCUGAGC
rfam:Cricetulus griseus cell line CHO-K1, whole genome shotgun sequence.